UACGUAGGGCGCGAGCGUUAAUCGGAAUUACUGGGCGUAAAGCGUGCGCAGGCGGUGAGUUAAGUCUGAUGUGAAAGCCCCGGGCUCAACCUGGGAAUGGCAUUGGAAACUGGCUCGCUGGAGUGUGGCAGAGGGGGGUGGAAUUCCGCGUGUAGCAGUGAAAUGCGUAGAGAUGCGGAGGAACACCGAUGGCGAAGGCAAUCCCCUGGGCCUGCACUGACGCUCAUGCACGAAAGCGUGGGGAGCAAACAGG
rnacentral:rRNA from 1 species